AAACUUAAAGCAUUCACACCUUAUUCCCAAUAAUUUGGAGAAGAAGAUGGAAGACUUUGCUCAGGUAGCAGGUGUGGACGCUCUAGGAGUGAUUAAUUUAAUCAUCGCGGCAUCCAAAAAUGCAACUACCCAUAAAAGGAACUGUGAGCAGUUAGCUGAGCACGUGAGAAUGAUCGGCAAUCUAUUAGAGAAGCUAAAAUCGACGGACCUGAUGAAUCUGUCGGCGACAGCAGAGCCGCUGGAAGGAUUAGAGGAGGCUCUUGGAAAAGCUUUGGAGUUGGUGGACAGUUGCAGAGAAAAGAGCUACUUCUACAUGCUUGCCAUGGGGUGGAGCGUAGUUUAUCAGUUUCAACGGGUUCAGAGUGAGAUUGAUCGAUACCUGAACCUGGUUCCCUUGAUUUCCAUUGUCCACGACUUCCGAAUGCAGGACGUGCAUGAAAGCUUGGAAGCUGUUGAAGGUGAUUAUCAUUGUGAAUACACUCUAGACGAAGAGGAUAUUGAGGCCCACAGAGCAGUACUGAAACCUGAUCGAUCAAAGAAAGAUGCAAAUGUAUUAGAGAAGUCACUGUCUAGAAGAUAUCCUGAUUUGAGAUUCCAUGAGGCUCUCGAGGAGGAGAAGGAGAAAUUACAUCUUGAACUGCACCUCUCACAGGCAAACAAUGAUCCCAAGCAGUGCAGAAUCAUUGAACAUCUUAUUGAUGUGACUCAAAAUGUAGUUAAUGUGCCAGAUGAAAAGUUUCUUGCCCUCAGCGCGCAACCUUACAUAGGAACUGGGUUGGUAUCAGCUGCAAAAGUUGGUCAGGUGCAGAUGGUGAAUGUCUCGCAGGCUGAACAUCAAGAAAACUCAAAGUGGCAAACUGACCUCUUUGACUGUUGCAGUGAACCCUGUUUAUGUUUUAAAGCGUGCAUCUACCCAUGUGGCAUAUUUUCAAGAAUUGCUAGUUUGGUUUCGCAUGGGAAGAUAACUCGUGAACAUGCACUGAAUGAUCUGUUGACAUACUCCUUAUUCUGUGGUUGUUGCUGUUAUACUUGUUGUGUAAGAAGAAGCCUGAGAAAACUUUUCAAUAUUGAGAUAUUGCGGUGCAUAAGGCAUUCUAUGUUUACCAGAGUUACCUCGGUUUUAUUUGCCAUAACAAGAUGGUCAGUGCACCAGAACAGCAUGUCCAUUUUUGGGGCAUGAGGUAAUCCUAGAGAAAAAGAGAUGGUUGUGAGGUGACGAAUUGCUUCGGAGACGUGGAUUGAGCAACUACUAGAUUCAAUUGAGUAGGAACUGAUGUGUCUAGCCAUUGUUACCAUUUUGUAUGUUCAAGGCAUUUGCUUCAGAGUAGGGAGGUUCAUGUGAUGAUUUCUUAACUCAUCUGAUGUGUUGCUGUUGCGCUAUGAUCCAAGAGUGGCGUGAACUCGAACUGAGGGACUUUGAAG